rnacentral:rRNA from 1 species
AUUGAACGCUGGCGGCAUGCCUUACACAUGCAAGUCGAACGGCAGCAUAGGAGCUUGCUCCUGAUGGCGAGUGGCGAACGGGUGAGUAAUAUAUCGGAACGUGCACUAGAGUGGGGGAUAACUAGUCGAAAGACUAGCUAAUACCGCAUACGAUCUACGGAUGAAAGUGGGGGAUCGCAAGACCUCAUGCGCCUGGAGCGGCCGAUAUCUGAUUAGCUAGUUGGUGGGGUAAAAGCUCACCAAGGCGACGAUCAGUAGCUGGUCUGAGAGGACGACCAGCCACACUGGGACUGAGACACGGCCCAGACUCCUACGGGAGGCAGCAGUGGGGAAUUUUGGACAAUGGGGGCAACCCUGAUCCAGCAAUGCCGCGUGAGUGAAGAAGGCCUUCGGGUUGUAAAGCUCUUUUGUCAGGGAAGAAACGGUUCUGGAUAAUACCUGGGACUAAUGACGGUACCUGAAGAAUAAGCACCGGCUAACUACGUGCCAGCAGCCGCCGUAAUAC